rnacentral:rRNA from 1 species
UACGGGGGGGGCAAGCGUUGUUCGGAAUUACUGGGCGUAAAGGGCUCGUAGGUGGCCAACUAAGUCAGACGUGAAAUCCCUCGGCUUAACCGGGGAACUGCGUCUGAUACUGGAUGGCUGGAGUAUGGGAGAGGGAUGCGGAAUUCCAGGUGUAGCGGUGAAAUGCGUAGAUAUCGUAAGGAAGACCAGUGGCGAAGGCGGGUCUCUGGACAGUUCCUGACGCUGAUGCGCGAAAGCCAGGGGAGCGAACGGG